GACGAACGCUGGCGGCGUGCUUAACACAUGCAAGUCGAGCGGUAAGGCCCUUUCGGGGGUACACGAGCGGCGAACGGGUGAGUAACACGUGGGUGACCUGCCCUCAGCUCUGGGAUAAGCCUGGGAAACCGGGUCUAAUACUGGAUAUGACUCCAUGACGCAUGUUGUGGGGUGGAAAGCCUUGUGCGGCUGAGGAUGGGCCCGCGGCCUAUCAGCCUGUUGGUGGGGUGANGGCCUACCAAGGCGACGACGGGUAGCCGGCCUGAGAGGGCGACCGGCCACACUGGGACUGAGACACGGCCCAGACUCCUACGGGAGGCAGCAGUGGGGAAUCUUGCGCAAUGGGCGAAAGCCUGACGCAGCGACGCCGCGUGAGGGAUGACGG
rnacentral:rRNA from 1 species